rnacentral:rRNA from 1 species
GGUUUCGAUUAUAGCUCAGAUUGAACGCUGGCAGGAUGCUUUACAUGCAAGUCGAACGGCAGCACGGACUUCGGUCUGGUGGCGAGUGGCGAACGGGUGAGUAAUGUAUCGGAACGUGCCUGGCUUGUGAGGGAUGGCUACGCGGCGUAGCCUCAAUACUGCAUGCGCCCUCCGGGGAAAGGCAGGGGACCUUCGGGCCUCGCACUAUUAGAGAAGCAGCCGAUAUCGGAUUGAAAGCUAGUUGGUGGGGGUAACGGCUCACCAAGGCGACGAUCCGUAGCUGGUUUGAAGAGGACGACCAGCCGCAGGACUGAGACACGGCCCGACUCCUGCGGGAGGCAACGGUGGGGAAUUUUUUGGACAGUGGAAACCUGAUCCAGCCAUCCCGCGUGUGCGAUGAAGGCCUUCGGGUUGUAAGCACUUUUGGCAGGAAAGAAACAUGCAGGAUAAUACCCCGUGCAACUGACGGUACCUGCAGAAUAAGCACCGGCUAACUACGGUAUAGCAACCGCGGUAAUACGUAGAGGUGCAAGCGUUAAUCGGAAUUACUGGGCGUAAAGCGUGCGCGAGCGGUUCGGAAAGAAAGAUGUGAAAUCCCAGAGCUUAACUUUGGAACUGCAUUUUUAACUACCGAGCUAGAGUGUGUCAGAGGAGGUGGAAUUCGCGUGUAGCAGUGAAAUGCGUAGAUGUGGAGGAACACCAUUGGCGAAGGCAGCCUCCUGGGAUAACGACGCUCAUGCACGAAAGCGUGAGGCGAGCAGGAUUCAGAUACCCUGGUGGUCCGCCUAAACGAUGUCAACUAGCUGUUGGGGCCUUCGGGCCUUGGUAGCGCAGCUAACGCGUGAAGUUGACUACGCCUGGGGAAGUACGGUCGCAAGAUUAAACUCAAGGAAUUGGCGGGGACCCGCACAAGCGGUGGAUGAUGUGGAUUAAUUCGAUGCAACGCGAAAACCUACCGCCCCGACGUGUCUGGAGUCGAAGAGAUUUGGGAGUGCUCACGCAAGAGAACCGGAACACAGGUGCUGCAUGGCUGUCGUCAGCUCGUGUCGUGAGAUGUUGGGUUGAGAUCCGCAACGACGCAACCCUUGUCAUUAGUUGCUACGAAAGGGCACUCUAAUGAGACUGCCAGUGACAAACCGGAGGAAGGUGGGGAUGACGUCAAAGUCCUCAUGGCCCUUAUGGGUAGGGCCCUACACGUCAUACAAUGGUCCGGGACAGAGGUCGCCAACCCGCGAGGGGGAGCCAAUCCCAGAAACCCGAUCGUAGUCGGAUCAUGAUCUGCAACUCGGCUGCGUGAAGUCGGAAUCGCUAGUAAUCGCCGGAUCAGCAUGUCGCGGUGAAUACGUUCCCGGGUCUUGUACACACCGCCCGUCACACCAUGGGAGUGGGUUUCUACCAGAAAUGGAUUACUAACUAAGCAAGGAGGGCGAUUACCACGGUAGGAUUCAUGACUGGGGUGAAGUCGUAACUAAAGGUAG